CGGGGCAAAGUCCAUCUCUCUCAUCGCUGGCUUCUACUCAUCAUUAAUGCAGAAGAUAAUGGCUUCACCAGAGGUCAUCAGCGGAGGAACGAGGCCCGGGGACAUGUACUCUCCGAGCAAGAAUGCACACCGCUGCGGGCUGUCGACUGAGUGCAUUGUUUGUAUGCAAACACACACACACACACACACAGAGCUUGCACACACAGAAAAUGCUACCAUGCAUAUAGUCUUUAACUACGUCUUCAUGCCAGUGUGUGACCCUUUUCUACUGACAUCCGUAUCUCCUCUGCUUUUAACUCAUGGCCCGCUUUCACUUUGAAGAUCUCAAUUUUGUCAUUUUAAUGUGCCGCCUGCCCCCUGGCCACGUUUCAAAGAUACGUCCCUCCUGGGAUGGUUAAAUUUUGUCAGCACAUGAUGUCCUCGGGUCCAAAUAAGACGAGCGCUCCAAGGGCACAAGCGCGGAGACGCCGGCAUCUCAGGGGAGGCGAGGUUACAUUAGUCCUCUCUGAUCGUGCUGGCUUAUUUUCAAAAAUGGGACAAAGAUGUCUGCCAGCAGAGCGCAGUGUUGCCUCAAAAGCGGCUUCUCUUCAUACUCCUUACACUUUCAUCUGGCUUUUUCAUCCGGCCGAUUGACAGUGCGACACCUUUAUCUCGCAGCCCGGGUGACAUGUUUUUGUCUCUUUGCUUUAACACAACACAAAGGCAGGCUCUGAACAAGCCGAGCCGUGGACAGAAAGAGAGAGAGAGCGUUGUUUUGCGUAAAAUUGUCAGAUGAAACGGCAGCAUUGCUCGUGUCCCCGAGCCAUGGCCAAGCUGUCAAAGUGUGUUGGGUCGUAAAAGGCUACGCUCUCUACACUGUCCCUUUUCUGCUUGUCACAUGUCGACAGUUACACACAUAAACUAUUUGUGUGUACGCCGCGGCGGCCCGCCUCCGCUCUCGCUUCGGGGGCUCCGCGGUGCAAAGUUAAGUUUGGGCAUAUUGAAGCGCCUCGGCUUUUGUAUCCAUAAGCAAACAAAAUAAGUUCUCCCCCGUAGCUGCAGGGUUGUGUUUGGAAUAGCACUCCAUUGUCUCCGAAUCAAACUUCUGUUCCCUCGGGCCUCCUUGAUCAGAGAGCAGUAACAGAUACAGGCCUUUGUGUCCAAUGGGGGGAGGAAAAAAGACUAAAGGUUUUGGGUUACCUGUCACACAGGCCUGAUAAGAGCCAAGGAGAGCAGAAAAUGACGACAAAGCUAAAAAUCAAACCCCCCCCUGCCCCUGUUGCCGCGGGCCAAAAAGCGGGCCCCGGCCCCCCUCAGGCCUCUCAGGGCCUUGGCAGAAGCCAGUCACACACAUCACAUGGCAUUACUCGGGAUGGGGUUACAGGAAAAUGUCAGCCGACGCAUAAGGAGAAAGAACCAUCGGCCCAUAGGAUAAUUAGAUUGCCCCAGGGAGGUGCAAUCUUGCAUUCCCACGAUUCCCCUCUUUCCACCCACGCCCUCUUUUCAUUGUAUUCCUCUCUCUCCGCCGCUUAUUUCGUGUUUUCAAUUCGGUCUGUUUGCUCGGCAGCAUACUAUAUUUGCACUAUUGUUGUAAUGGAGCAUCGUGUUCCAGAAAGGGCUGCUGUGUAUAUAUAAGGCGCAUUCUGCAAAUUCUCUAUUGUCAUUAACACGCAUCUGAAUGAAACUCAUCCCUCAGCUUUGAGGAAGUCUGCCAGUCAGGGGAAUUGAACACAAUGCCUUUUCAACACUCUCUCAACCACUUGUCCAAAAAUGACCAGCUCAGUUUUGGAUGUACAAUUCAUGGUUUUAUAUGUUUACGCAAGUUGGCUAAAGUAGAGUUACUUUGGUGCAGAUUUGCUACAAAAAAAAAAAGUAUUCAUGUAUUUUUUUCCAUUGCAUUUAGAAUUACAGUAGCGCCUCAAUUUACAAGCUUAUUGAUUCUAUGAUGGGGCUCUUAACUCAAGACACUUGCUUCUCAAAUCAACGUCUCCUAUUUAAAUUAAUCGAAAAACAAUUUAUUUGGUGCUUACCUCUCACCCCAAACAGCACAAUUUUAACAUGUAACACAUUUAAAAAAAACAAAAAAACAAUUUAAAUAAGAAAUAUUGUAUGAGAAAUAACUUAGCCUUAGACUUAGACAAACUUGAAUGAUCCGCAAGAAAAAUUGUUCCACACAGUAGCUCAGUUACAAAGGAUGGAGGGGAUAAGGAUGGAAAGGGUAAUGCACACAAGGGCACAAAAAGAGGGCAAAAACAAAAGGUAUGAAGUAGACUAGAAAUGUACCAUAGUAACAAUAUAAAAUGUAACGUGUAAUAUUUACAUAUUAUAUAUACAGUAUGUAAUAUGAACUGAUAUAUUAUUAUCCAAAUCCCAACUACCAUGUACAAUAUUACUGUAUAUGUAACAACUGCUGCAAAAAUACAAUACAUAGAAUAGAACGUACUACAGUAGUUUUAUGAAGUAAUGCAAUAAUAAUGUACAGCAUUUACGUUUGAGAGUUAUCCGUCAAACACACCAUCAGCAGCUUCUCCAAAUUUCAAUGUUAUGUAUGUCGUUUGAAUAUUAUUUCAACGUCCAUGGCUGAUGUACACCUGUUCCGAUUCCGUAUGGUGCAGACUAGCAGUAAUACUCUCAAAUUGCUUCUCCAAGUUUGUUACAUGCUUGGUCAUGUUUUUGAUGAUAGUUUUUCUUCAAUUCAAUAGUAUAAUCCACUUCUUCUUCUCAUCACUGUCCUUCAAACCCACAUUCAUCCUUCCCAUGGUCAGAAAGUUAUCACCAUCUCUAGCUGUACGCUAAAGCUAACAAUUAAGACCAGAUGUUUUGGUCAGAUCUUACGGGGUUUAAUGUGGUAUUUGCUACCCCAACGAAUGGAGGGGAUGCUUGUAAGUCAAACGCUAACUUGUAAUUUAAAGCAUAAUAGCUAGCUGAAACACAGCUCUUUUCUCAAAACACUCUUAAGUUUGGGCAUUCUUAAGUUGAGGUACCAAUGUAAAUAACUGUUUUUCUUUCAUUUCUUUGGCAACUUAAUUCUGCAGCCUGCAGUAUAGAGAGACUACGGCCAACUUGGUUUCAAAGUUGGAAGCAAACAUGGCGCCCUGUAGUCACGGGAGGGGCUUUUUACUUAUCAUUUGGGAAUUCCUCUGGCCAUACUUUCUCUGAUUGGUCAAAGGCCCUCAUGUGACUUAAGGGCGCCAUGUUUGCUACAACCUUUAAAACCAUGUUAACCACACUCUCUCCUGCUCUGCAAUGUGUAUAGCUGCCACCUACAGGCCUGUAGUGAAAUAUUUAUUGUUUAUACUAUCCUUUUUCAUAUGUACCAGCAUUUCACAGCAUUUUUUCAAAGUAAAAUGCUGUAUUUAAAAUAUAUUCUAGUCCAUGGUUCUCGCCCGGAAAAGGGUGGAGUGCCAUCUCCGGGUUGGGGAGGAGACCCUGCCCCAAGUGGAGGAGUUCAAGUACCUAGGAGUCUUGUUCACGAGUGAGGGAAGAGUGGAUCGUGAGAUCGACAGGCGGAUCGGUGCGGCGUCUUCAGUAAUGCGGACGUUGUGCCAAUCCGUUGUGGUGAAGAAGGAGCUGAGCCGGAAGGCAAAGCUCUCAAUUUACCGGUCGAUCUACGUUCCCAUCCUCACCUAUGGUCAUGAGCUUUGGGUCAUGACCGAAAGGAUAAGAUCACGGGUACAAGCGGCCGAAAUGAGUUUCCUCCGCCGUGUGGCUGGGCUCUCCCUUAGAGAUAGGGUGAGACGCUCUGCCAUCCGGGAGGAACUCAAAGUAAAGCCGCUGCUCCUCCACACCGAGAGGAGCCAGAUGAGGUGGUUCGGGUAUCUUGUUAGGAUGCCACCCGAACGCCUCCCUAGGGAGGUGUUUAGGGCACGUCCAACCGGUAGGAGGCCAUGGGGAAGACCCAGGACACAUUGGGAAGACUAUGUCUCCCGCCUGGCCUGGGAACGCCUCGGGAUCCCCCGGGAAGAGCUAGACGACGUGGGUGGGGAGAGGGAAGUCUGGGUUUUCUUGCUUAGGCUGCUGCCCCCGUGACCCGACCUCGGAUAAGCGGAAGAUGAUGGAUGAAUGGAUGGAUGUAGCAUUACAGCAAAUGGGGCAGCACGGUGGGAAAAAGUGGUUGGUGCGUCUGCCUCACAAUACGAAGGUCCUGAAGUGUCCUGGGUUCAAUCCCGGGCUCGGGAUCUUUCUGUGUGGAGUUUGCAUGUUCUCCCCGUGACUGCGUGGGUCCCUUCCAGGUACUCCGGCUUCCUCCCACCGCCAAAAAUAUGCACCUGGUAAUACCGGUAGGUUGAUUGGACACAAUAAAUUGACUUUAGUGUGUGAAUGGGAGUGCAAAUGUUGUCUGUCUAUCUGUGUUGGCCCUGUGAUGAGGGGGUGACUUGUCCAGGGUGUACCCCGCCUUUUGCCCGAAUGCAGCUGAGAUAGGUUCCAGCAACCCCCCGCGCCCCGGACGGGACAAGCGGUAGAAAAUGGAUGGAUGGCAUUAAACCAAAUGACUGUAAAAUGGUGAUACCUUUCGAUUUCUCAAUAAUGAACUCUUAUUAUGAGGUAAUCCAAUUAUUUGUCAUGAGGGCGGUUCUCCUGCUUUUUUUCCCCUCUUGUGUCUGCAAGUCCCCUCCCCGGUCAUCAGUUGCAGGUGUGCUGCCAGUCAUCCGAGCCCACCUGCAGCUAAUCAACAACCUGACUUAAACCCUGGAUCUCCACCCAGCCAGUGCCUGUUCGUCCGUUACCUGCGGUACAAUCCUGCCUGAACUCAAUUAUUCCGACCUUUGCCCUGAACCCUUUUUGAUUCCUGUUUUUGUAUUUCCUCAGAGGGUGAAUAGACUUUUGACCCAGUUUUCCUGGAGCUGAUUUUUUGUUACUAUUGAAUUAUUUUCUCCAAUGAUUUUUGGUUAUUAAAUAGAUUUUUUACUGAUCCACACUUGGAUUCCUUUUUUGAGACCUUAACAUUAUCAUUAAUAUUUUUUUGUAAAUAUACAAAUACAUUUUUUUGCAGUGAGCGUGAGACGGGAAGUUAAGUUCUGAUAACCGUUUGAUCCUUACUCAGAAUGUAUUUGCAAAAGCUGUGUUCCCAAAGGACGUUUUGGUGAAAAUUCCAAAUCAGUAUUGAUCGUUAUCUUGUUUGUUUUGUGCAUUUAUAAAUUUUCAACUUUAUUUAUCAUUUGUACAGAGCAACUACUUAAGAAAUCGAAAUGUUUGAAAAGCAAUAUUGUGAGUUUCCUGUUAUUACUGCAAUGGUAAUGUAAGGCAUUUAGACCAUAGGUGUCAAAUUUAAGAUCCACAGGCCUGACCUGGCCAGUAGGGAUUGGUGAUAUGGACUACAACAAUAACCUGCCAUUCAUGGUGAAAAUGAUAAAAGUGAAGUUAAAAAACACCCAUAAAACUCCACCUUAUGACCAUGAGUCUGUCAGUGCAUCCAGUCUUCAAAGCCCCUUAAACAUGACUAAGAUAACACUAAGGCUAAUGAACUACAUCAAUUAAGUUUAAGUAGCACACCUAUACUGCAAAGCUGUAGUGGUGUGCUUUGCUUAUAGGGUUGCCAACUGUCCCUUGAAAAAACAGAAUUGUCUCAUUUUUAGAAACCGUGUUGAACUGUAAGGGGAUGCACUUUGCUUUGUUUUUAUUAUGUGACCAACAUAGCCUAUUAUUUUGUAUUCAUGUUGGUGCGCCCUGUAAAGUUCGAGGAAAAAGGUACACACGCCAGUUUUGACUAGGCGGUUUUGCUGCAGUCGGCAACAUGCACCGUGCAGGCAUCUUGUCAGUGCAGCCGACAACCAAAUGCAGUUGGUCCGAGGUCGUGCACAAGUCAUCAUUCACUGAGGAUUUUUCACAUCCAGUUUGCACCCUUCACUAGGGGAAGAGAGGAGCAGACAACCGCAUGGUCGCACGUGCAUGAGACGCAGCCCGAGCGGAGAGGAGGAGAAGACGGCAGGAGAGUUCAUUGCAGAUGUCUGAGUGCGUCUGACAGAGAGGACAGCCCCCAAGGCAGGUCCCAGCCCCUCAGCACCCAAAAUGACACAUGACUGCUUUGACUUUUGUCAUCCUCUGCACCCUAAACCAGAACCUCCAACACACACACAC